rnacentral:rRNA from 1 species
AGAAUCAACGCUGGCGGCGUGCCUAACACAUGCAAGUCGUACGCGAAAGGGGCUUCGGCCCUGAGUAGAGUGGCAAACGGGUGAGUAACGCGUGGGUGACCUGCCUUCGAGCGGGGGAUAACGUUCCGAAAGGGACGCUAAUACCGCAUGACAUCCUGUCUUUAGACAGACGGAGAUCAAAGCCGGGGAUCGUAAGACCUGGCACUCGAAGAGGGGCCCGCGUCCGAUUAGCUAGUUGGUGGGGUAACGCUCACCAAGGCUCCGAUCGGUA